CGUGUAGGCGGUUGUUUAAGUCUGGUGUGAAAGCCCGGGGCUCAACCCCGGAAGUGCAUUGGAUACUGGACAACUUGAGUACGGGAGAGGAAAGUGGAAUUCCGAGUGUAGGGGUAAAAUCCGUAGAUAUUCGGAGGAGCACCAGUGGCGAAGGCGGCUUUCUGGACCGAUACUGACGCUGAGACGCGAAAGCGUGGGGAGCAAACA
rnacentral:rRNA from 1 species